rnacentral:rRNA from 1 species
CCUACGGGAGGCAGCAGUGAGGAAUCUUGCGCAAUGGGGGCAACCCUGACGCAGCCACGCCGCGUGCUGGAAGACGGCCCUAUGGGUUGUAAACAGCUUUUGGUCGGGAAGAACCCGGGGGUUUCGAUCCCCGCUGACGGUACCGAUUGAAUAAGCACCGGCUAACUCCGUGCCAGCAGCCGCGGUAAUACGGAGGGUGCAAGCGUUGUCCGGAAUUAUUGGGUGUAAAGGGUGUGCAGGCGGAAGUCUAAGUCGGAGGUGAAAUCUUGCCGCUUAACGGUAAAAGGGCCUUCGAUACUGGAUUUCUUGAGUUCGGAAGAGGUUGGUGGAAUUCGUGGUGUAGCGGUGAAAUGCAUAGAUAUCACGAAGAACACCGGUGGCGAAGGCGGCCAACUGGUCCGACACUGACGCUGAGACACGAAAGCGUGGGGAGCGAACAGGAUUAGAUACCCUGGUAGUCCACGCUGUAAACGAUGCAUGCUAGUUGUUGCCCCCUCGGGGGCAGUGACGCAGUUAACGCAGUAAGCAUGCCACCUGGGGAGUACGUUCGCAAGAAUGAAACUCAAAGGAAUUGACGGGGGCCCGCACAAGCGGUGGAGCAUGUGGCUUAAUUCGAUGCAACGCGAAGAACCUUAC